UGGGGAAUUUUGGACAAUGGGCGAAAGCCUGAUCCAGCAAUGCCGCGUGUGUGAAGAAGGCCUUCGGGUUGUAAAGCACUUUUGUCCGGAAAGAAAUCCUUGGCUCUAAUACAGUCGGGGGAUGACGGUACCGGAAGAAUAAGCACCGGCUAACUACGUGCCAGCAGCCGCGGUAAUACGUAGGGUGCAAGCGUUAAUCGGAAUUACUGGGCGUAAAGCGUGCGCAGGCGGUUUGCUAAGACCGAUGUGAAAUCCCCGGGCUCAACCUGGGAACUGCAUUGGUGACUGGCAGGCUAGAGUAUGGCAGAGGGGGGUAGAAUUCCACGUGUAGCAGUGAAAUGCGUAGAGAUGUGGAGGAAUACCGAUGGCGAAGGCAGCCCCCUGGGCCAAUACUGACGCUCAUGCACGAAAGCGUGGGGGAGCAAACAGGAUUAGAUACCCUGGUAGUCCACGCCCUAAACGAUGUCAACUAGUUGUGGGAUUCAUUCCUUAGUAACGUAGCUAACGCGUGAAGUUGACCGCCUGGGGAGUACGGUCGCAAGAUUAAAACUUAAAUGGAAUUGACGGGGUCAUAGCU
rnacentral:rRNA from 1 species